UGGGGAAUAUUGGACAAUGGGCGCAAGCCCUGAUCCAGCCAUGCCGCGUGGGUGAAGAAGGCCUUCGGGUUGUAAAGCCCUUUUGUUGGGAAAGAAAAGCAGUCGGUUAAUACCCGAUUGUUCUGACGGNACCCAAAGAAUAAGCACCGGCUAACUUCGUGCCAGCAGCCGCGGUAAUACGAAGGGUGCAAGCGUUACUCGGAAUUACUGAGCGUAAAGCGUGCGUAGGUGGUGGUUUAAGUCUGUUGUGAAAGCCCUGGGCUCAACCUGGGAAUUGCAGUGGAUACUGGGUCACUAGAGUGUGGUAGAGGGUAGCGGAAUUCCCGGUGUAGCAGUGAAAUGCGUAGAGAUCGGGAGGAACAUCCGUGGCGAAGGCGGCUACCUGGACCAACACUGACACUGAGGCACGAAAGCGUGGGGAGCAAACAGGAUUAGAUACCCUGGUAGUCCACGCCCUAAACGAUGCGAACUGGAUGUUGGGUGCAAUUUGGCACGCAGUAUCGAAGCUAACGCGUUAAGUUCGCCGCCUGGGGAGUACGGUCGCAAGACUG
rnacentral:rRNA from 1 species